rnacentral:rRNA from 1 species
GACGAACGCUGGCGGCGUGCUUAACACAUGCAAGUCGAACGAGGCCCCUUCUUCGGUUGGGGUUCUAGUGGCGAACGGGUGAGUAACACGUGGGCAACCUGCCCCUGGCUCUGGGAUAACUCCAAGAAAUUGGGGCUAAUACCGGAUAUGACCGCUGAUCGCAUGGUCUGGUGGUGGAAAGAUUUAUCGGCUGGGGGAUGGGGCCCGCGGCCUAUCAGCUUGGUUGGUGGGGGUAGUGGCCCACCAAGGCGACGACGGGUAGCCGGCCUGAGAGGGUGACCGGCCACACUGGGACUGAGACACGGCCCAGACUCCUACGGGAGGCAGCAGUGGGGAAUAUUGCGCAAUGGGCGAAAGCCUGACGCAGCGACGCCGCGUGGGGA